UGGGGAAUCUUAGACAAUGGGCGCAAGCCUGAUCUAGCCAUGCCGCGUGAGUGAUGAAGGCCUUAGGGUCGUAAAGCUCUUUCGCUGGGGAAGAUAAUGACGGUACCCAGUAAAGAAACCCCGGCUAAAUCCGUGCCAGCAGCCGCGGUAAUACGGAGGGGGUGAGCGUUGUUGGGAAUUAAUGGGCGUAAAGCGCGCGUAGGCGGCUCGGAAAGGUGGGGUGGAAAUCCCAGGGCUCAACCCCGGAAU
rnacentral:rRNA from 1 species